AACGAACGCUGGCGGCAUGCCUAACACAUGCAAGUCGAACGAGACCUUCGGGUCUAGUGGCGCACGGGUGCGUAACGCGUGGGAACCUGCCCUUAGGUUCGGAAUAACUCCCCGAAAGGGGUGCUAAUACCGGAUAAUGUCUUCGGACCAAAGAUUUAUCGCCUUUGGAUGGGCCCGAGUUGGAUUAGCUAGUUGGUAGGGUAAAAGCCUACCAAGGCGACGAUCCAUAGCUGGUCUGAGAGGAGGAUCAGCCACACUGGGAUUGAGACACGGCCCAGACUCCAACGGGAGGCGGCGGUGGGGAAAAUUGGACAUGGGCGAAAGCCUGAUCCAGCAAUGCCGCGUGAGUGAUGAAGGCCUUAGGGUUGUAAAGCUCUUUUACCCGGGAUGAUAAUGACAGUACCGGGAGAAUAAGCUCCGGCUAACUCCGUG
rnacentral:rRNA from 1 species